AGUCUGAUGGAGCAACGCCGCGUGAGUGAAGAAGGUUUUCGGAUCGUAAAGCUCUGUUGUUGGUGAAGAAGGAUAGAGGUAGUAACUGGCCUUUAUUUGACGGUAAUCAACCAGAAAGUCACGGCUAACUACGUGCCAGCAGCCGCGGUAAGUACGUAGGUGGCAAGCGUUGUCCGGAUUUAUUGGGCGUAAAGCGAGCGCAGGACGGAAAAAUAAGUCUAAUGUGAAAGCCCUCGGCUUAACCGAGGAAUUGCAUCGGAAACUGUUUUUCUUGAGUGCAGAAGAGGAGAGUGGAACUCCAUGUGUAGCGGUGGAAUGCGUAGAUAUAUGGAAGAACACCAGUGGCGAAGGCGGCUCUCUGGUCUGCAACUGACGCUGAGGCUCGAAAGCAUGGGUAAACGAACAGGAUUAGAUACCCUGGUAGUCCUGCCGUA
rnacentral:rRNA from 1 species